GGGGGCUGUAGCUCAGUGGUAGAGCAUCCGCUCAGCAUGCAGAAGGUCCCAGGUUCAAUCCCUGGCAUCUCCA